ACGCCAUGAACAAUUACAACUACUAUUUCUAGUCAUAGUUCCAUUAUCUUAAUUGUGACUUUUAUUGCCACUGUUCAUCACACCCCAAACCAGCACUAUCAGACACCGCCUACGAAGAGCCCUGGGUCUGUCUAAGGUUUCUCACUAAAAGGGAGUUUUUCCUCGAUACUGUUGCACUAAAUGCUUGCUCUAGGGGAAUUACUGAAAUUGUUGUUUUUUGUAAAUUAUAGAGUGUGGUUUAGACCUACUCUGCAUCUAAAGUGUCUUGUGAUAACUCUUAUGAUUUGAUGCUAUACAAUUGAAUUGAAUU